GUCUUCUUAGUAUAACACGUGCAAGUGACUUCCAAUCACACAGUCUCGGUCAAACUCCGGGAGAAGACA
rnacentral:tRNA from 1 species